AACAAGGCGUACCUGCGGACCUGCGGAAGGAUCAUUACCAGAGUGCCAUAGGCUCUCCAACCCAUUGUGAACAUACCUAUCGUUCCCUCGGCGGGCUCAGCGCGCGGGGCCUCCGGGCUUCCGGGCGUCCGCCGGGGACAACCAAACCCUGAUUUACUACGUGUAUCUCUGAGGGGCGAAAGCCCGAAAACAAAAUAAAUCAAAACUUUCAACAACGGAUCUCAGAUCGGAAGAGCACAC
rnacentral:misc_RNA from 1 species